rnacentral:rRNA from 1 species
CAGCCGCCGCGGUAAUACGUAGGUGGCAAGCGUUGUCCGGAAUUAUUGGGCGUAAAGCGCGCGCAGGCGGAUCAGUCAGUCUGUCUUAAAAGUUCGGGGCUUAACCCCGUGAUGGGAUGGAAACUGCUGAUCUAGAGUAUCGGAGAGGAAAGUGGAAUUCCUAGUGUAGCGGUGAAAUGCGUAGAUAUUAGGAAGAACACCAGUGGCGAAGGCGACUUUCUGGACGAAAACUGACGCUGAGGCGCGAAAGCCAGGGGAGCGAGCGGGAUUAGAUACCCCCGUAGUCCCUGUCUCUUAUACA